rnacentral:rRNA from 1 species
AGGGUUUGAUCCUGGCUCAGGACGAACGCUGGCGGCGUGCCUAACACAUGCAAGUCGAGCGGGGACAUAUUUGGAAGGUCUUCGGAUUGGAAGGAUAUGUUCUAGCGGCGGACGGGUGAGUAACGCGUGAACAAUCUGUCCCAGACAGGGGGAUAACAGAUGGAAACAUCUGCUAAUACCGCAUAAGACCACGUCCUCACAUGAGGGAGAGGUAAAAGGAGCAAUCCGGUCUGGGGUGAGUUCGCGUCCGAUUAGCUAGUUGGUGAGGUAACGGCCCACCAAGGCGGCGAUCGGUAGCCGACCUGAGAGGGUGAUCGGCCACAUUGGAACUGAGAGACGGUCCAA